AACAAUCCACACAAUUUCCAUGAACGUGAGUAAAACAUUGCACAUAUAUUCGAAUGGUCGGCAAAUGCGCGACAAUAGCGUUAAACAAUAAACAAUUCACUUAGAGUCCCAGCAUUUUCGUCGUAUUUUCUUCUUUAUUUAUUGGCAAUUGGAAAUUCGCCUGCCGCGCUAUGCGUACGUUAUUCGAUUCGAUUUGAAUGCGGUUUGGAUUCGAUUUGAUGCGAUUCGAUGCGAUGCGAUUUGAUGCGAUUUAAUUUGAUUCGAUUUGUGAGUGAAACGGAAACAGUUAACGAAACAGCAACAAAUGGCUUCCAAGCGGAGAAGCGGUGCGGUUCAACGAAUUCCGUUGACGCGACGCUGAAUGAGAACUGAUUUGAAUUUUUCGGUGCGACGUUGGGGAUUGUGUCGAUUGUACCGCCGUCGAUCGCCAGCGGUAAAAUAGCAAACAGCAAACAGCUGACAGAGGCAGAAGCAGAAGCAGAAGCCGCAGCCACAGCGUUUGGAGAAUGCAAAAAGCAGGCAGCUUAUCGUCUAGCUGAUAAGGCCAGUGCAUUGGUACAGCGCAUUUUAUAUGUCUUUGUGUGCUGCUGAGACGAUGUCUGAUAAUGAAAGUACUGAGUCCCCCGACAACGCUCGCCAAAUAUUUGAAUUGCUUGGGAUUGCAGCAAUUGUCGCUGGCAGACAGCAGAAAUUGUAGCGAAUAAGAAAGCAAAAGUUGUGGCAAAUCGAAUGUUGAAUCUAAGCAGAAACAUCUUGAAAAGCAUGUAACUUAAAUGGUAUGUUUAAGUUAACUAUAUGCAAUUGAAAUAUGUGAAAUAUUUAUGAUAUCCUUCUUUACUUUAAGAACUGAAACCAACACACUCUAUGCCGACUCACUGGCGUGUAAAAUAAAUAAAUGCACAAAUGACCACAUGUCCCAUUUGUGCAGCUGCGAUAAUGUCCGAAAUGCAGAAUCACUGGAUUACCCACCCGAUGAGAUAAUGCGACAAUACUCUGGACCAGCACAGCUCACCACCUGUCAGAGUUCGCUGCUCACUUCGCAGUCGCUUUGCUGACACGUCACUCAGAGGAAUUCUUUCGAAAAAGGGGUUUUUAAACCCCCUUAAUCCCCCUUUGCUUGCAGUAAAAUGCGCUCAUUUGCAAAUGCGUUCACUGAAUGCGAUUGGUUAUUUUUCCAUGAUUUUCGACUCUGUUUGGCCAGGCGUAAUAUAAUUGUGUGCAUGACCUUGCACCCGCUUCUCACCUGCCACCCAGCUGACGCCACCCCUCCCCUUGCGACGCCCACCACCAGCUGGCACUCCCCUUCAGUGUUAGGCAAACAUCAACAAAUUUAUGACACUGUCGAGCAAACACAAAAAUACAAAGAACAAAAAAAGUACAGGUGAGCGAGAGUGCUUCGGUUUUUUGUUUUUUUUUUUUGUUUUUUGCCUCUUCUUCUUUCGGAACAGCGCAUGUGGAAAAUUUUGACUUUGUUUGUCCCGAUUCGUACCGCCCAUCCAACCCACCCAGCCGCCCAACUCUCGAGAUGAUCCCCACAGAUUCCCCCGCCCGCCGGUUAAACACUUUGAAUGACUUUAUCGCGUUUUUAUCGCUGCACCAUUUACCUGCCCUUGUCUUUGGUGCACUGAGAGAAAGAAAUGAGCAAAGCUACGAAUUCAUAAAAAAAAAGUCAUAAAAGUCACAUUUGCUUAUAAUUGAAAGCAAACUGAAUGUUUCAUCAAAACAUAUAUAUUAUAUCAUUAAAGUUUAUAUUGAUUGCAAUCCAUAUUUUUUCAGUUUCAAA
rnacentral:sRNA from 1 species